CUCUUUUUGAAUAUAAUUUAAAGUCAGGCCUGCCCACUGAAAUUUGAAGGGCCGCAGUAUUUUGACUGUGCAAAGGUAGCAUAAUCAUUAGUUUUUUAAUUGAAAGCUUGUAUGAAUGGUUUGAUGAGAAAAUUUCUGUUUCAAUUUUAAUUUAUAGAAUUUUAUUUUUAAGUAAAAAAGCUUAAAUAUUAUUUAAAGACGAGAAGACCCUAUAGAGUUUUACUUAUAUUAAAAUUUUAAAUUUUAGAAUUUUAUAUUUAAAAUUUUAUAAAAGUUUUGUUGGGGUGACAAAAAAAUUAGACUAACUUUUUUUAAAUAAAAACAAUAAUUUUUGAUUAUUUGAUCCAUUGAAUUGAUUAAAAGAUUAAAUUACCUUAGGGAUAACAGCGUAAUUUUUUUUAAGAGUUCUUAUUUAAAAAAGAGAUUGCGACCUCGAUGUUGGAUUAAAAUUUAUUUUUGGUGGAGAAGCUAAAAAAUUAGGUCUGUUCGACCUUUAAAAUUUUACAUGAUCUGAGUUU
rnacentral:rRNA from 1 species